ensembl:lincRNA Gm17382 predicted gene, 17382
GGGAAAACCGAUGUGGCAUGCUCUUCCCAGGCAACUGUGCUGGGACAGGGUCCCGCAAACGUCGCGGGAGAAAAACCGAAGACAUGAGGUGCUCCCAGUGCGGUCCAACAGGUGUAUUUUAAAUCUAUGUCCCCAGGUCCAUGACUGAAGAAAAUUCUGGAAGGACUCCCAGGAAGUUAUUUCUUUUUUCUGCUUGCUGUGAUAUUGACGAGAAAACGGUGAUGACAUCUUUUUGGCUCGAUGGAACUGAUGGAAGAUAUAUGGAGCAGCUGAGGACUGUCAGAGCCAGACCCAGCAGAUUUCCUAAGAGAAUGACCAUGGCCUUUUCAUCAGCGAGCACACUGCCUUCUGAAAUGGUCUAACACGAGAGAGAGAGAGAGAGAGAGAGAGAGAGAGAGAGAGAGAGUCCUAUCUAACUAGCCAUCAGUGAGGUUAUCCCUGUACCCCACAGCUGCUGCCACCCAAUCUGAAGGUUCCCGCUUCUGCUCUUGAAGUAUUUAUUGUAUGUGACCACACAGAAGUCCUAGCUGUCACCCACCGUCAAACCCCCCGGCCCCAGUCUGGGACCCAGAGCCCUCCAGGAGUGGGAAACUUCAUCCUAUACCUUCUCAGUCACAGGGAUUUCAGAAAUUAGUCACAGGAAGCAGGGAGGCCGAGAGUGGAGGCUUCCAAGAGGAGCCAGUAACAGGAUCUGGGAUCUUUCACCCCAGGUCACAGAAGCUUAGACUGUCCCCAAGGUAGAGAUGAGUGGUCAAGGAUGGAACCGGCCUUCCCAAGGCUUCUGCCAGCAGCAAGAGCUUUGGGGAGAUGGAACCUAUAGCCAGGCAGUCGUCCCCUCACUGACUGCUCUCUCCCGUAUCUCAAAUGUCUGUCCUAAUACUCUCAACUCUGAGAGACAACAAGGGGUUGACUGGAGCCCAGAACCCAGCAUGUAUCUGAAACAAAGUCUUGACCUGACUUCCAGCCCUCCCCUCAUGAAUGAACACUGUUGCAUCUCAGAGCACUCUCAGACAUCCCAGAAUUGUCACUCACAGACAUCUCAUGUGGACAGACAGUAAAUGAUAAUCAUUCUGAAGGGAUGGAAAAGUUGUGGGGUGGUAGAGGCAGAAGGCACUGGGUUCAAUCCUCUAUAUGGAGAGAAAGAUGAUAGAUAGAUAGAUAGAUAGAUAGAUAGAUAGAUAGAUAGAUAGAUAGAUAGAUAGAUCAGAGACACACACUAAAUAUCUACCAACAGAAAAUAGUUUAGGGCUGGUGAGAUGGCUCAGCAGUUAAGAGCACUUGACCGCUUUUCCAAAGGUCCCGAGUUCAAAUCCCAGUCACCACAUGGUGGCUCACAACCCUCCAUAACAAGAUCUGAUGCCCUCUUCUGGAGUGUCUGAAAACAGUUACAGUGUAGUUACAUAUAAUAAAUAUAUC